rfam:Microgenomates (Amesbacteria) bacterium GW2011_GWC2_47_8 TY11_C0047, whole genome shotgun sequence.
CGGGGAUUGGCUCAGUUGGUAGAGCGCGUCGUUUGGGACGAUGAGGUCGGCAGUUCGAAUCUGCCAUCCCCGA